rnacentral:ncRNA from 1 species
UGGAAAUAUGAAAUGAGAGCAGGACAGCACUCCCCUUGAUUAGGAUGGAAGAAAUCCGAAUGGACUUUUAACCAUGUUUAAGACUGUCACUUACUUUGUGGCAUCUGGUCUAUAUCCUGG